AGGUGAUGGUUUAAUAUCCCGCAGGUAAUGGCAUAUAUGUAAAAGUAGAUUUCAGAUGAUCCAAACCAAUGCUGAGGAUAUUAAUUUAGGAACUUAAAUGCACAGUUAUGGCCAUUUUGGAGCCACUGGGAUGUAGAAAUGUUUGCCAUUUAUCUCUGUAGGCUAGAAAUCUAACAUUUUCUGUUACAGUCAGGUAUGGAAAAUUUGGGAAAUAUAAUGAAUAUGACCUAUUGUUGUGGAUAUGGCAGAUGAGACGUGCUGAGGAACCUUUCUGUUGUGUUGCUGUUUUGAGUCAAGCUCAAUAUCAUGAGGCCUGAAUUUUAAGGCCGCUAUAAUGAACACUUGGCUUAUCAAAAAAGAGGCAAUGCGAAUUAGGUUUCAUUUUUUUAUUAAGGUUAUAAAUUUUAAACAAAUACUUUCUAAAACAGUUUUACCCGGUGAUAUACAAUUUAAUAUGCACAAAAAUACAAGAAUACCAACAAAAGUUUAAGGCACAUCAGAAUUCUUCACAGAUAUCUAGUGACUGCAGACUAUUAGUACUAAUGCAGGCUAAUUUUGUCUAAUGGGCCUCUAAACAUAGAACUGAAUAAAAAUGCUUCACCUCUCUUUUAGUGUCAUACCAUUCUAUUAGGUUACCGUAACAGUAUCUUCAGAGGUGACCAUUUUUACACUAACCUUCUCUAUCUAUCUAUCUAUCUAUCUAUCUAUCUAUCUAUCUAUCUAUCUAUCUAUCUAUCUAUCUAUCUAUCUAUCUAUCAUCUUGAGAAUGAUAUGCUGACAUUACUUACAUGUUGGGGUCAGUUUCAAUAUUUGGAUCUGCAAACCCUAAAUGAGGGUUGCUACUAAUCAUGAGGAAUAAGUAGCUUUUUAAACAGUCUCUAAGGGCACUAUAGGCUUCUUGCUUUUAACUUUUACAGAUUUUUCAACUACAAAUUGCUAGGCAUUCUCACAUUUUUUUCAAAGAAUACUCACAUUUUGUUCCAAACGGGUGUGGCAAGAGUGUCACAUUCAGUGACUGAAGGUGGUGUAAAUGGCCCUAUAAAACACUUGUUGGAUAAUGAAUGGAGAUUUCAAGAUCAAUCAAUUCAGGUUUCAUCAUAAUUUAAAAUUUAAAUGUUUUUUUUUUUAUCCUAUUGAAUAAAUAUAAAAUAAACUCAUGUUAUUUGCUCAUAGAUCAUAUUGAAUGAAAGCAAAGAAAAGUAUGGGCAGUAUUUUUUUUAUCAGUUCUUUUUCAGACAAAAAGUUAUGCUUUAUUUCUGCUUCACUGGAAUAAAGUCUUAUCCAUUUAUGAAAUAUCCAUCAAAAGAACUAAAUAAUUUUAUUUAUUGACAGACUAACUUAAAACUAGCUUAACUUAAAAUGUGUCAUUUUUAACUUUAAAAUUUCAAUCCAUCAACACCAGUAAAUGUCAAGUGAGCUAAAAAAAAUAAAUAAUAUAAAAUAAUAUUUUAAAAGUAAGUCGAAUUCUGGUGCUGGGUGCUGGACAAACUCUCAGAGAGGACUGAUUCAGAUCUUAGUUUAGUUAAUUUAUAAAUAAAUGAAUAAUAUGAAAAUAAUAUAAAAUGAAGCAACUAUCUACUUCUAUAAUAACAUAUAUGAAGACUGUGAGAACAAUCGUUGGAUUUGUAUUACAGCUUAAAAAAAUGACAUUUGGAAACACUUGCUAAUUUCUCACCUGAAUCUGACCUCAACAUCUUCAUCUUGGUCGCACAUGGACAUUUACUCGAAAGACUUCAGAUCAAGUUUCAAGAUUCAGAUCAAGAAGCCUUCUUGCAUCUUCCUGUAGAACACCAGAAGUUAUAGGUGAGUUUGAGCAGAAUGUAAUAUAGAAUCUUGUAACUGUUUUUACAGUCACAUAAAACAUUUAUUUAGAAUGUAUGUUCUGUUCUAUGUCCUAUAGUCUCAUAUGUUAGUAAACAGAAAAAGCAUAAACACUACCCCAACGACAGAAGGGAAAAUAUUUAUUUGAUCCCAUGCUGAUUUUGUAAGUUUGCUCACUUACAAAAAAAUGAAGGAGCUGUAGGUUUAUUUUAAUGUAUAGAGACAGAAUACCAAAUCAAAAAUCCAGAAAAAAACACAUUAUAUAAAGGUUAGAAAUUGAUUUGCAUUUCAGUGAGUGAAAUAAGUAUUUGAUCCACAAGCAAAACAUGACUUAGUACUUGGUGCAGAAACCCUUG
ensembl:lncRNA